GCAUCCCUCCGAGCAAAAGCGCCUAAAACCUUAGGUCAUGGUGCUGCGCCUACGCUGAAAGCGUACAGGGCCAUGGGGGAAACCCCGGGGCCUUCCGUGUUUGAAAAGGAGCCAAGAG
rnacentral:ncRNA from 1 species